AGCUCCAAUAGCGUAUAUUAAAGUUGUUGCAGUUAAAAAGCUCGUAGUUGAACUUUGGGCUUGGUUGAAUGGUCUCCCAAUGGGUAGUACUAUUCGACUGAGUCUUUCCUUCUGGCUAGCUAUUGUGCUCUUCACUGGGUGCGAUAGGGAUCCAGGACUUUUACUUUGAAAAAAUUAGAGUGUUUAAAGCAGGCUUACGCUUGAAUACAUUAGCAUGGAAUAAUAGAAUAGGACUUUGGUUUUAUUUUGUUGGUUUCUAAGACCGAAGUAAUGAUUAAUAGGGACAGUUGGGGGCAUUAGUAUUUAGCCGUCAGAGGUGAAAUUCUUGGAUUGGCUAAAGACUAACUUCUGCGAAAGCAUUUGCCAAGGAUGUUUUCA
rnacentral:rRNA from 1 species